rnacentral:rRNA from 1 species
UGAAUACGAGAUGCUACGGCGUCGAAGCAGUCUAUGUCAUACUUCCAAGAAAAGCUCGCACUGUCAUAAACAAAUAAUGCCUGUACCAUAACCGACACAGGUGGGUAGGUAGAGUAUACUAAGGGGCGCGAGAUAACUCUCUCUAAGGAACUCGGCAAAAUGACUCCGUAACUUCGGGAGAAGGAGUGCCUUAUUUAUAAGGUUGCAAUAACAAGAUCCAAGCAACUGUUUAUCAAAAACACAGGUCUCCGCUAAGUCGUAAGACGAUGUAUGGGGGCUGACGCCUGCCCAGUGCCAGAAGGUUAAAGAAGUUGGUUAGCAUUCGCGAAGCUGAUAACUGAAGCCCUGGUGAACGGCGGCCGUAACUAUAACGGUCCUAAGGUAGCGAAAUUCCUUGUCGGGUAAGUUCCGACCCGCACGAAAGGCGUAAUGAUUUGGAUACUGUCUCGGAGAGGGGCUCGGUGAAAUAGACUUGUCUGUGAAGAUGCGGACUACCUGCACCAGGACAGAAAGACCCUAUGAAGCUUUACUGUAACUUGAGAUUGAAAUUGGACUUUACUUGCGCAGUAUAGGUGGGAGGCGUUGAUAAUAUUCUUGCGGGAUUAUUUGAGCCAUCAGUGAGAUACCACUCUUGUAAUGUUAGAUUUCUAACUUUGUAUCAUUAUCUGGUCAAAGGACAGUUUCAGGCGGGCAGUUUGACUGGGGCGGUCGCCUCCUAAACGGUAACGGAGGCGCACAAAGGUUUCCUCUGAACGGGUAGAAAUCGUAUCUAGAGUGUAAAGGCAUAAGGAAGCUUGACUGUGAGACCUACAAGUCGAGCAGGGACGAAAGUCGGUCUUAGUGAUCUGACGGUGCUGAGUGGAAAGGCCGUCACUCAACGGAUAAAAGUUACUCUAAGGAUAACAGGCUGAUCUCCCCCAAGAGUUCACAUCGACGGGGAGGUUUGGCACCUCGAUGUCGGCUCAUCGCAUCCUGGGGCGGUAGUACGUCCCAAGGGUUGGGCUGUUCGCCCAUGAAAGCGGUACGCGAGCUGGGUUCAGAACGUCGUGAGACAGUUCGGUCCAUAUCCGGUGUAGGCGUUAGAAUAUUGAGAGUAGCCUUCUUUAGUACGAGAGGACCGAGAAGGACAUACCUCUGGUGUACCAGUUAUCGUGCCAACGGUAAACGCUGGGUAGCUAUGUAUGGAGUGGAUAACCGCUGAAAGCAUCUAAGUGGGAAGCCCACCUCAAGAUAAGUAUUCUC